rnacentral:rRNA from 1 species
UACGUAGGGGGCAAGCGUUGUCCGGAAUCAUUGGGCGUAAAGCGCGCGUAGGCGGCUACUUAAGUCGGAUGUGAAAGCCCUUGGCUCAACUGAGGAAGUGCACCCGAAACUGAGUGGCUAGAGUACGAAAGAGGGUCGCGGAAUUCCCGGUGUAGAGGUGAAAUUCGUAGAUAUCGGGAGGAACACCGGUGGCGAAGGCGGCGACCUGGGUCGAUACUGACGCUGAUGCGCGAAAGCGUGGGGAGCAAACAGG